rnacentral:rRNA from 1 species
CUUGCUCUCUGGGUGGCGAGUGGCGGACGGGUGAGGAAUACAUCGGAAUCUACUUUUUCGUGGGGGAUAACGUAGGGAAACUUACGCUAAUACCGCAUACGACCUACGGGUGAAAGCAGGGGAUCUUCGGACCUUGCGCGAUUGAAUGAGCCGAUGUCGGAUUAGCUAGUUGGCGGGGUAAAGGCCCACCAAGGCGACGAUCCGUAGCUGGUCUGAGAGGAUGAUCAGCCACACUGGAACUGAGACACGGUCCAGACUCCUACGGGAGGCAGCAGUGGGGAAUAUUGGACAAUGGGCGCAAGCCUGAUCCAGCCAUACCGCGUGGGUGAAGAAGGCCUUCGGGUUGUAAAGCCCUUUUGUUGGGAAAGAAAUCCAGCUGGCUAAUACCCGGUUGGGAUGACGGUACCCAAAGAAUAAGCACCGGCUAACUUCGUGCCAGCAGCCGCGGUAAUACGAAGGGUGCAAGCGUUACUCGGAAUUACUGGGCGUAAAGCGUGCGUAGGUGGUCGUUUAAGUCCGUUGUGAAAGCCCUGGGCUCACCUGGGAACUGCAGUGGAUACUGGGCGACUAGAGUGUGGUAGAGGGUAGCGGAAUUCCUGGUGUACAGUGAAAUGCGUAGAGAUCAGGAGGAACAUCCAUGGCGAAGGCAGCUACCUGGACCACACUGACACUGAGG